UUUUAAUGAGUAGUAGAAAAGUUCUGAAAUCCAGUUUUUACUUGUAGGAUGAAUAUCUUUUUAUUUUACAUGACCAAAUUGAAUCACUUCGAGGAAAUUUAUACUUCAAGUAAAUUAUUUGACCUUGUAUUUCAGAUAAAACGAUGCCACGCAGAAAGAAAAAAGUUAAAGAAGCCUCUGAAUCUGAAAACCUGGAGAAGAAGGAUGCUGAAGCUACCAGUUCUGUCAGUGUGAAGAGGAAGCUUAGACUUGAGGAUGCAUUCAUUGUGAUAUCUGAUAGUGAUGGAGAGGUCAGUAGUUUGAAGUUGUAGGUUUCAAAUUAAGCCUC
rnacentral:lncRNA from 1 species